ensembl:lncRNA
GUUGCUGCUUGGUGGCUUUGGUGGCAAGAUAGGGAUCAGGCUGAGACACACUGUUCUUUGUGCUGUCUACUGAAGUUCUGCAUUGUAGUGCUCCUUUGCAAUUAAAUGCUCCCAUCUUUAAGGUGAUGGUGAGGUAGCUGUAGUCUCCAGGCUCUGUGAUGUUCCCUGCUAGUGCUGCUGUUCUCCCUGAAGAAGACAGGCUGUUUGGCUGAAGGUGAUGGAGCCAUCCCCAUGGAGCUGUAACAGAACCUGGAUGGAAUAAACUCUUGCAGGAAAGGAUGCUGGGUCUGAUUCUCUGUUGCCUCGCAACCUGCUUCUGGUCCAGUGCAAAAAGGAUGAGAAAUACUGAAUGAACUAUUCCUAGUGGGGCAGGGGAAUAGCAGCACCAAGAGGAAAGCUUAGGUGGGAGCUGCAGUCCUUCCAUGCAAACGGUGUGCCAACAGUGGGUUGGUGCUGAGGUGCUUACAUGGGCCUAAGUAUGAUCCCACAGGGCUCCUGACAGGGCAUCGCUUCAGAAGUGAAUGCAGUGACCCAUAAGGCAUGAGGUCUGCGUGGUGACUGCACUACCUUGUUGUCUUCCAAAAGGAACAUGCAUCUCUCACAACACAGGGAUUUAAACACAAUUAUUACUCCCAAGGAUGCUGGGAAGGUACCAUGCGACGUUGGCUUUUUUCACUUGGAUGAAGUGUUGCCCAGUGGGUUGAGCAGAGGUGUUCAGCAUCAACCUGUCCUUCCUGAUGGGCUGUCUCAGGGCCUCUGGAGGUGGCAGUUCCCUGCUGGGUGUGAUGGAGAGGAGUAUUGGUGCAAUGGGAGAAUAAUGGCUGUUGCAAGACUGUGGUACCAUUAACGAGCUCCUUGGAGGAAGGGCCCUACAGAAGUGCAAAUCAUCUUACUUGCUAUUAAUUACCGAUGUAUUUAUUCAUUGCAAUAUGCAGGGCAGGUAUAGCAGGUUAUCUGCUCAGCUGGUCUGUAAGAGGGUGG